GGCAGUUUGGCGUAGUGGUUUGAGUGUUGCAUUAGGACUCUGGAGACCAGGGUUCAGGUCCCUGCUCAGCCA
rnacentral:tRNA from 1 species